AUACAGAGGGUGCAAGCGUUAAUCGGAUUUACUGGGCGUAAAGCGCGCGUAGGUGGCUAAUUAAGUCAAAUGUGAAAUCCCCGAGCUUAACUUGGGAAUUGCAUUCGAUACUGGUUAGCUAGAGUAUGGGAGAGGAUGGUAGAAUUCCAGGUGUAGCGGUGAAAUGCGUAGAGAUCUGGAGGAAUACCGAUGGCGAAGGCAGCCAUCUGGCCUAAUACUGACACUGAGGUGCGAAAGCAGGGGGAGCAAACAGGAUUAUAUACCCUGGUAGUCCAUGUCGUAAACGAUGUCUACUAGCCGUUGGGGCCCUUGAGGCUUUAGUGGCGCAGCUAACGCGAUAAGUAGACCGCCUGGGGAGUACGGUCGCAAGACUAAAACUCAAAUGAAUUGACGGGG
rnacentral:rRNA from 1 species